GCGGCCAUAAUUUAGUGGUAAAAUACGGUCUUGCCAAGACUGAGAUAGGAGUUCGAUUCUCCUUGGCCGCA
rfam:Candidatus Nomurabacteria bacterium RIFCSPLOWO2_01_FTLL_40_18 rifcsplowo2_01_scaffold_9365, whole genome shotgun sequence.